rnacentral:tRNA from 1 species
GGCUGGGUAGCUCAGGUGGUUAGAGCGAGGGUCUCAUAAUUCCUAGGUCGGCGGUUCGAGUCCGCCUCCAGCCACCA